UGGUUACGAAAUUGGGCCGGAUAGAGGUAGCGAGUGGGUGAGUGAGUGGGAGGCCGGCUGCCUGGAUGGCUGGGGGCAUUGCGUGACCCCCGGUAGGCGUAUUCCAAGCGCUGAGCCACGGUCGCUGUCAUUAAGAAAGCACUCACGGGGUUUUGGUCGAUUGUCCUCUCCCGCUAUAAAAGACGCCUCCAACUAUCGCCGAGCAGUGAGAGGCAAUGCCCCCCCCCCCCCCACCGUCAACAGGUGUAGCAGCAGCAGCAGCAGAAGCUCUGGCAAGAAAGACUCACAGCACGCACAAUGGUUGGCUGGAGCGGUGGCGCGGUGGUUAGCGCUGCACGUGCGCUGUGAGCCCGGAAUUGGAUUCCUGGGAUCUCUCGGCUAACUCGCAUUGACGGAAAGUUUGUCUGUCGUUGGCAACAAGAAUAGGCCUUUAAACCGGGGCCCAACGGAGAAGUUGCCAUUGAGUUUUGCGGACGAUUUAAUUAAAUCUCAUGGAAGUGCUUCUCCGUCGUCUAGUCAUUCACUACCUUACAUUUUCUCUCCAAAGAAAAAUAUCCCCCGUGUAGCCUUAACAGAUUUUUUUUGAGGCAAGUGCUGUUAACGAGCACCUAUCAAGGACAAGACGGCACACGAAGGGGGCUUUGUCUUCGAGCUCCAGUCAAAUCUCUCUCACGAGCGAGGGGUCCUUACCCGUAAAGCCGCCUGCGACGUCCACCAGCCGUUGUUCCGAACGAAAAGCCUCACUCUGCUGACGAGCAACUGAACGUCGACAACUGGAGCAGAGUUUGCUCGCGUUGAGUGAACGCUGCAGCUGACGAGGUGGACCCUCUGGGAGGUCUGUUUCGUUCCAAUGAGUUGUGCAUAAAAGCAACAGCAGCAGCAGCAUCAUUAUUAUUAUGUGAAGAGGCAUGGGCUUAUUCAUUCCGCGUGAUUGGCAUUCUCCACAUCUAAACGUUACGACUGCGCUCGUGGCAUACACUUUAUAUCCAAGUGGUGUAACUGUGUUAGUAAAUUGGACGGAGGAGAAGAAGAAACCCGGUGACUUCGCUUGUUUUUAAGCACAGCGGCAGCGCAAUUCGGUAGCCGUGGAGGGAAAGGUGCUUGUAGGAUGACCAUCACACACCCCGUCAAGUCACGCGUCUGGGUCACUGCACACGGACGGGAUGCGACUGGGCUAUCUGCAGGGGAGAUCUCGAGUAGAUUACGCGAUGUUUUCUUAGAUGAUGACAGAACAAUUAGCCUGUAAUUGGCAAAAAUUGCCUACUUGGGGUAUAAUUGAUGGCACAAUUAGUGGAUGCAAUUUGUGAAAUUGCAUCGCAGUGAGAAUUGCUUUAAAUGUGUAAUAUUGGACCAAAUACUGGAAAAUUGUGAAGCCUUUUUGGAAGUGACUGCUGGAAUAAUAAUAAGCGGCAAUGUCUACAUUCAAUAUUAAAAUUUUUACAAUC